rnacentral:rRNA from 1 species
GACGGAGGAUGCAAGCGUUAUCCGGAAUGAUUGGGCGUAAAGCGUCUGCAGGUGGCAGUUCAAGUCUGCUGUCAAAGACUGGGGCUUAACCCUGGAAAGGCCGUGGAAACUGAAGAGCUAGAGUGCAGUAGGGGUAGAGGGAAUUCCCGGUGUAGCGGUGAAAUGCGUAGAGCUCGGGAAGAACAUCGGUGGCGAAAGCGCUCUGCUGGACUGCAACUGACACUCAGGGACGAAAGCUAGGGGAGCGAAUGGG